AAAUUGAAGAGUUUGAUCAUGGCUCAGAUUGAACGCUGGCGGCAGGCCUAACACAUGCAAGUCGAACGGUAACAGGAAGCAGCUUGCUGCUUUGCUGACGAGUGGCGGACGGGUGAGUAAUGUCUGGGAAACUGCCUGAUGGAGGGGGAUAACUACUGGAAACGGUAGCUAAUACCGCAUAACGUCGCAAGACCAAAGAGGGGGGACCUUCGGGCCUCUUGCCAUCGGAUGUGCCCAGAUGGGAUUAGCUAGUAGGUGGGGUAACGGCUCACCUAGGCGACGAUCCCUAGCUGGUCUGAGAGGAUGACCAGCCACACUGGAACUGAGACACGGUCCAGACUCCUACGGGAGGCAGCAGUGGGGAAUAUUGCACAAUGGGCGCAAGCCUGAUGCAGCCAUGCCGCGUGUAUGAAGAAGGCCUUCGGGUUGUAAAGUACUUUCAGCGGGGAGGAAGGUGUUGAGGUUAAUAACCUCAGCAAUUGACGUUACCCGCAGAAGAAGCACCGGCUAACUCCGUGCCAGCAGCCGCGGUAAUACGGAGGGUGCAAGCGUUAAUCGGAAUUACUGGGCGUAAAGCGCACGCAGGCGGUCUGUCAAGUCGGAUGUGAAAUCCCCGCGGGCUCAACCUGGGAACUGCAUUCGAAACUGGCAGGCUAGAGUCUUGUAGAGGGGGGUAGAAUUCCAGGUGUAGCGGUGAAAUGCGUAGAGAUCUGGAGGAAUACCGGUGGCGAAGGCGGCCCCCUGGACAAAGACUGACGCUCAGGUGCGAAAGCGUGGGGAGCAAACAGGAUUAGAUACCCUGGUAGUCCACGCCGUAAACGAUGUCGACUUGGAGGUUGUGCCCUUGAGGCGUGGCUUCCGGAGCUAACGCGUUAAGUCGACCGCCUGGGGAGUACGGCCGCAAGGUUAAAACUCAAAUGAAUUGACGGGGGCCCGCACAAGCGGUGGAGCAUGUGGUUUAAUUCGAUGCAACGCGAAGAACCUUACCUACUCUUGACAUCCAGAGAACUUUCCAGAGAUGGAUUGGUGCCUUCGGGAACUCUGAGACAGGUGCUGCAUGGCUGUCGUCAGCUCGUGUUGUGAAAUGUUGGGUUAAGUCCCGCAACGAGCGCAACCCUUAUCCUUUGUUGCCAGCGGUUAGGCCGGGAACUCAAAGGAGACUGCCAGUGAUAAACUGGAGGAAGGUGGGGAUGACGUCAAGUCAUCAUGGCCCUUACGAGUAGGGCUACACACGUGCUACAAUGGCGCAUACAAAGAGAAGCGACCUCGCGAGAGCAAGCGGACCUCAUAAAGUGCGUCGUAGUCCGGAUUGGGAGUCUGCAACUCGACUCCAUGAAGUCGGAAUCGCUAGUAAUCGUGGAUCAGAAUGCCACGGUGAAUACGUUCCCGGGCCUUGUACACACCGCCCGUCACACCAUGGGAGUGGGUUGCAAAAGAAGUAGGUAGCUUAACCUUCGGGAGGGCGCUUACCACUUUGUGAUUCAUGACUGGGGUGAAGUCGUAACAAGGUAACCGUAGGGGAACCUGCGGUUGGAUCACCUCCUUACCUUAAAGAA
rnacentral:rRNA from 1 species